CAGCAGUCGCCGCGGUAAUACAGAGGGUGCGAGCGUUAAUCGGAUUUACUGGGCGUAAAGCGUGCGUAGGCGGCUUUUUAAGUCGGAUGUGAAAUCCCUGAGCUUAACUUAGGAAUUGCAUUCGAUACUGGGAAGCUAGAGUAUGGGAGAGGAUGGUAGAAUUCCAGGUGUAGCGGUGAAAUGCGUAGAGAUCUGGAGGAAUACCGAUGUCGAAGGCAGCCAUCUGGCCUAAUACUGACGCUGAGGUACGAAAGCAUGGGGAGCAAACAGGAUUAGAUACCCGCGUAGUCCCUGUCUCUUAUAA
rnacentral:rRNA from 1 species